CAAUAGCGUAUAUUUAAGUUGUUGCAGUUAAAAAGCUCGUAGUUGGAUUUCUGCUGAUCGCUGUCGGUCUGCCGUCAGGUGUGUACUGGCAGUGUUUGGCAUCUAUUCGAGAUUGGGUGUCCACUUGAUUGUGUGCACUCGAUGUCGGAGCUAAUACUUUGAGAAAAUUAGAGUGUUCCACGCAGGCGCGUGCCUUGAAUACUGCAGCAUGGGAUAUUGGAAGGCCGAUUGAGCUUUCUUGUUGGUUCUCGGUUUGAUCGGAAUGAUUAAUAGGGAUAGUUGGGGGCAUUCGUAUUCAACUGUCAGGGGUGAAAUUCUUGGAUUUGUUGAAGACGGACUACUGCGAAAGCAUCUGCCAUGGAUGUUCUCAUUG
rnacentral:rRNA from 1 species